rnacentral:rRNA from 1 species
UACGUAGGGGCAAGCGUUAUCCGGAUUUACUGGGUGUAAAGGGAGCGUAGACGGCAGAGCAAGUCAGAAGUGAAAGCCCGCGGCUCAACUGCGGGACUGCUUUUGAAACUGCCCUGCUGGAGUGCAGGAGAGGUAAGCGGAAUUCCUGGUGUAGCGGUGAAAUGCGUAGAUAUUAGGAGGAACACCAGUGGCGAAGGCGGCUUGCUGGACGAUGACUGACGUUGAGGCUCGAAAGCGUGGGGAGCAAACAG